GAGGUUGUUGUGUUGUGCGGUGCUUCCGGUUAUGGUCACAUCCGUAGUGGAAGGGGUAAAGUGUAGCUCAGUAACCAUUUGAGAAGGUGAGAAUGGCCACUAGCAUAAAAAUUUUUUGGUC